rnacentral:rRNA from 1 species
UACGUAGGGGGCAAGCGUUAUCCGGAUUUACUGGGUGUAAAGGGAGUGUAGACGGAUGGACAAGUCUGAUGUGAAAGGCUGGGGCUCAACCCCGGGACUGCAUUGGAAACUGCCCGUCUUGAGUGCCGGAGAGGUAAGCGGAAUUCCUAGUGUAGCGGUGAAAUGCGUAGAUAUUAGGAGGAACACCAGUGGCGAAGGCGGCUUACUGGACGGUAACUGACGUUGAGGCUCGAAAGCGUGGGGAGCAAACAGG